rnacentral:sRNA from 1 species
CUCGGCCUGUUCGAAUGCUAUGUUCGCUUGCGACUCGAACACUUCGUCAGUGACCUCGAGACCGUCCGACAUCCCGUAGUCAUCGGAAAUCUGCUUUCCGAUAGUGGUCUCGGUA